UCUCCGUAGGUGAACCUGCGGAGGGAUCAUUACUGAGUGAGGGUCUCCGGGCCCGACCUCCAACCCUUUUGUGAACCACCUCGUUGCUUCGGGGGCGACCCUGCCGCUCGCCCGGCAUCGCGCCCCCGGAGGACCCCAACCCUGCAUUCAUUGCGUCGGAGUUUUAUACAAAUAAAACAAAACUUUCAACAACGGAUCUCUUGGCUCUGGCAUCGAUGAAGAACGCAGC
rnacentral:misc_RNA from 1 species